rnacentral:rRNA from 1 species
AUUGAACGCUGGCGGCAGGCCUAACACAUGCAAGUCGAGCGGAUGAAGGGAGCUUGCUCCUGGAUUCAGCGGCGGACGGGUGAGUAAUGCCUAGGAAUCUGCCUGGUAGUGGGGGAUAACGUCCGGAAACGGGCGCUAAUACCGCAUACGUCCUGCGGGAGAAAGUGGGGGAUCUUCGGACCUCACGCUAUCAGAUGAGCCUAGGUCGGAUUAGCUAGUUGGUGGGGUAAAGGCCUACCAAGGCGACGAUCCGUAACUGGUCUGAGAGGAUGAUCAGUCACACUGGAACUGAGACACGGUCCAGACUCCUACGGGAGGCAGCAGUGGGGAAUAGUGGACAAUGGGCGAAAGCCUGAUCCAGCCAUGCCGCGUGUGUGAAGAAGGUCUUCGGAUUGUAAAGCACUUUAAGUUGGGAGGAAGGGCAGUAAGUUAAUACCUUGCUGUUUUGACGUUACCAACAGAAUAAGCACCGGCUAACUUCGUG